rnacentral:lncRNA from 1 species
UUAAAGCAAUCAUCUAUACUGGAACCGGAGAAGUCCACAUGCACUUCCUCUCUAAGAAGGUACGCCGCUAUUUUACAGACAAAAAGAAGACGACGCAACCGCAACCAGAGGAGGCAAAUCAUCAAGGACGGAUGGGCAGACUACGAAGGAGAAGUGGUAAGGUCUGAAGACAUACAACUUGAACAGAAUUGUCCUGAGGAGACCAUAGCACCGAGUCAGGUGUGGAGAGAGAAGAUAGUUAUACACGAAGAGGAGGCGCC